rnacentral:rRNA from 1 species
GAGCACGUAGGUGGGUUUGUAAGUCAGACGUGAAAGCCUUCUGUUCAACGGAAGAAUUGCAUCUGAAACUACAAACCUUGAGUGUAGGAGGGGAGAAUGGAACUUCUGGUGGAGCGGUGAAAUGCGUAGAUAUCAGAAGGAACGCCGGCGGCGAAAGCGAUUCUCUGGCCUAUUACUGACACUCGGUGUGCGAAAGCUAGGGGAGCAAACGGGAUUAGAUACCCCGGUAGUCCUAGCCGUAAACGAUGGGCACUAAGUAGAGGG